CGUGGAGACAGGUGGUGCAUGGCUGUCGUCAGCUCGUGUCGUGAGAUGUUGGGUUAAGUCCCGCAACGAGCGCAACCCUCACCUCUUGUUGCCAUCAGGUCAUGCUGGGCACUCUAGAGGAACUGCCCCGGUCAACGGGGAGGAAGGCGGGGAUGACGUCCAGUCAUCAUGCCCCUUACGUCCUGGGCUACACACGUGCUACAAUGGCCGGUACAAUGGGAUGCGACGCCGCGAGGUAGAGCUAAACCCAAAAAGCCGGUCUAAGUUCAGAUUGGAGUCUGCAACUCGACUCCAUGAAGGAGGAAUCGCUAGUAAUCGCGUAUCAGCACGACGCGGUGAAUACGUUCCCGGGCCUUGUACACACCGCCCGUCACACCACGAAAGCCAGCUGUACUCGAAGUCGCUGAG
rnacentral:rRNA from 1 species